rnacentral:rRNA from 1 species
ACGGGUGAGUAAUGCCUAGGAAUCUGCCUGGUAGUGGGGGACAACGUUUCGAAAGGAACGCUAAUACCGCAUACGUCCUACGGGAGAAAGCAGGGGACCUUCGGGCCUUGCGCUAUCAGAUGAGCCUAGGUCGGAUUAGCUAGUUGGUGAGGUAAUGGCUCACCAAGGCGACGAUCCGUAACUGGUCUGAGAGGAUGAUCAGUCACACUGGAACUGAGACACGGUCCAGACUCCUACGGGAGGCAGCAGUGGGGAAUAUUGGACAAUGGGCGAAAGCCUGAUCCAGCCAUGCCGCGUGUGUGAAGAAGGUCUUCGGAUUGUAAAGCACUUUAAGUUGGGAGGAAGGGUUGUAGAUUAAUACUCUGCAAUUUUGACGUUACCGACAGAAUAAGCACCGGCUAACUCUGUGCCAGCAGCCGCGGUAAUACAGAGGGUGCAAGCGUUAAUCGGAAUUACUGGGCGUAAAGCGCGCGUAGGUGGUUUGUUAAGUUGGAUGUGAAAUCCCCGGGCUCAACCUGGGAACUGCAUCCAAAACUGGCAAGCUAGAGUAUGGUAGAGGGUGGGUGGAAUUUCCUGUGUAGCGGU